rnacentral:rRNA from 1 species
UCUCCUGGAAACGGGUGGUAAUGCCGGAUGCUCCAGUUGAUCGCAUGGUCUUCUGGGAAAGCUUUCGCGGUAUGGGAUGGGGUCGCGUCCUAUCAGCUUGACGGCGGGGUAACGGCCCACCGUGGCUUCGACGGGUAGCCGGCCUGAGAGGGCGACCGGCCACAUUGGGACUGAGAUACGGCCCAGACUCCUACGGGAGGCAGCAGUGGGGAAUAUUGCACAAUGGGCGCAAGCCUGAUGCAGCGACGCCGCGUGAGGGAUGGAGGCCUUCGGGUUGUAAACCUCUUUUAUCGGGGAGCAAGCGAGAGUGAGUUUACCCGUUGAAUAAGCACCGGCUAACUACGUGCCAGCAGCCGCGGUAAUACGUAGGGUGCAAGCGUUAUCCGGAAUUAUUGGGCGUAAAGGGCUCGUAGGCGGUUCGUCGCGUCCGGUGUGAAAGUCCAUCGCUUAACGGUGGAUCCGCGCCGGGUACGGGCGGGCUUGAGUGCGGUAGGGGAGACUGGAAUUCCCGGUGUAACGGUGGAAUGUGUAGAUAUCGGAAAAGAACACCAAA